UGGGGAAUAUUGGACAAUGGGCGCAAGCCUGAUCCAGCCACGCCGCGUGAGUGAUGAAGGCCUUCGGGUCGUAAAGCUCUGUGGGGAGGGACGAACCGCCGGAUGUGCAUAGCAUCCGGCAUGACGGUACCUCCUUAGCAAGCACCGGCUAACUUCGUGCCAGCAGCCGCGGUAAUACGAAGGGUGCAAACGUUGCUCGGAAUUAUUGGGCGUAAAGCGCACGUAGGCGGCUUUGCAAGUCGGAUGUGAAAUCCCUCGGCUUAACCAAGGAAGUGCAUCCGAAACUGCAGAGCUUGAGUACUUAAGAGGAUCGCGGAAUUCCCGGUGUAGAGGUGAAAUUCGUAGAUAUCGGGAGGAACACCAGUGGCGAAGGCGGCGAUCUGGGAAGAUACUGACGCUGAGGUGCGAAAGCGUGGGGAGCAAACA
rnacentral:rRNA from 1 species